GACGAACGCUGGCGGCGUGCUUAACACAUGCAAGUCGAACGGAAAGGCCCUGCUUGCAGGGUACUCGAGUGGCGAACGGGUGAGUAACACGUGGGUGAUCUGCCCUGCACUUCGGGAUAAGCCUGGGAAACUGGGUCUAAUACCGGAUAGGAGCCAUUUUUAGUGUGAUGGUUGGAUAGUUUUUUCGGUGUAGGAUGAGCUCGCGGCCUAUCAGCUUGUUGGUGGGGUAAUGGCCUACCAAGGCGGCGACGGGUAGCCGGCCUGGGGGGGUGGACGGCCAAAUUGGGACUGAGAUACGGCCCAGGCUCCUACGGGAGGCAGCAGUGGGGAAUAUUGCACAAUGGGCGCAAGCCUGAUGCAGCGACGCCGCGUGGGGGAUGACGGGCUUCGGGUUGUAAACUCCUUUCGCUAGGGACGAAGCUUUUUGUGACGGUACCUAGAUAAGAAGCACCGGCUAACUACGUG
rnacentral:rRNA from 1 species